AGAGUUUGAUCAUGGCUCAGAUUGAACGCUGGCGGCGUGCCUAACACAUGCAAGUCGAACGCGGAAGCCCCUUCGGGGGCCUACGAGUGGCGUCCGGGUGAGUAACACGUGGGUAAUCUACCUUUGGGUGGGGAAUAACACCUCGAAAGAGGUGCUAAUACCGCAUAACGCAGCGGCAGCAGAUGCUGAUUAGUUGUUAAAGCGGGGGAUCCUUCGGGACCUCGCGCCUAAAGAGGAGCCCGCGGCAGAUUAGUUAGUUGGUGAGGUAACGGCUCACCAAGGCAACGAUCGGUAGCCGGCCUGAGAGGGCGGACGGCCACACUGGGACUGAGACACGGCCCAGACUCCUACGGGAGGCAGCAGUGGGGAAUUGUUCGCAAUGGGCGCAAGCCUGACGACGCAACGCCGCGUGGAGGAUGAAGAUCUUCGGGUCGUAAACUCCUUUCGAUCGAGACGAAUUCCUCCGGGGUGAAUAAUCCCGGAGGUUGACGGUACCGAGAGAAGAAGCCCCGGCUAACUCCGUGCCAGCAGCCGCGGUAAUACGGGGGGGGCAAGCGUUGUUCGGAAUUACUGGGCGUAAAGGGCUCGUAGGUGGCCAACUAAGUCGGACGUGAAAUCCCUCGGCUUAACCGGGGAACUGCGUCCGAUACUGGUUGGCUUGAGUUUGGGAGAGGGAUGCGGAAUUCCAGGUGUAGCGGUGAAAUGCGUAGAUAUCUGGAGGAACACCGGUGGCGAAGGCGGCAUCCUGGACCAACACUGACGCUGAGGAGCGAAAGCCAGGGGAGCAAACGGGAUUAGAUACCCCCGUAGUCC
rnacentral:rRNA from 1 species